rnacentral:ncRNA from 1 species
GCUGGAUAGGCACUCCGAGCAUUCACACCUAAACUUUGGAUAAGCAGUGGUGUGUUGCCGAUAGGGUGUAGUGGGAAACUGCUGCACCUCCCGUUUGGAAAGGAGUGGGUUUUGAAAUGAA